CCUACGGGUCGCAGCAGUGGGGAAUAUUGCACAAUGGGCGCAAGCCUGAUGCAGCCAUACCGCGUGUGUGAAGAAGGCCUUCGGGUUGUAAAGUACUUUCAGCGGGGAGGAAGGUGUUGAGGUUAAUAACCUCAGCAAUUGACGUUACCCGCAGAAGAAGCACCGGCUAACUCCGUGCCAGCAGCCGCGGUAAUACGGAGGGUGCAAGCGUUAAUCGGAAUUACUGGGCGUAAAGCGCACGCAGGCGGUCUGUCAAGUCGGAUGUGAAAUCCCCGGGCUCAACCUGGGAGCUGCAUUCGAAACUGGCAGGCUGGAGUCUUGUAGAGGGGGGUAGAAUUCCAGGUGUAGCGGUGAAAUGCGUAGAGAUCUGGAGGAAUACCGGUGGCGAAGGCGGCCCCCUGGACAAAGACUGACGCUCAGGUGCGAAAGCGUGGGGAGCAAACAGGAUUAGAUACCCUCGUAGUC
rnacentral:rRNA from 1 species